rnacentral:rRNA from 1 species
CGGUGGAGCAUGUGGCUUAAUUCGUCAUUAACCGAAGAACCUUACCAGGGUUUGACAUCCACUGUAAGUCCAUGAAAGUGGUACCCUCUGUAGCAAUACAGACUGUGAGACAGGUGUUGCAUGGCUGUCGUCAGCUCGUGUCGUGAGAUGUUGGGUUAAGUCCCGCAACGAGCGCAACCCUCAUCAGAUGUUGCCAGCGUAAAGUCGGGAACUCUUCUGAAACUGCCCGCGUAAGCGGGAGGAAGGUGAGGAUGACGUCAAGUCGGCAUGGCCCUUACGCCCUGGGCUGCACACAUGCUACAAUGGUCGUUAACAAAGGGAUGCAAAGUCGCGAGGCAGAGCUAAUCUCAAAAAUACGGCCUCAGUUCGGAUUGCAGUCUGCAACUCGACUGCAUGAAGUCGGAAUCGCUAGUAACCGCAGGUCAGCUAAACUGCGGUGAAUACGUUCCCGGGCCUU